rnacentral:rRNA from 1 species
GAUGAACGCUAGCGGCAGGCCUAAUACAUGCAAGUCGAACGGUGUCUUCGGACAUAGUGGCGCACGGGUGCGUAACACGUAUGCAACCUACCUUACAUUGGGGGAUAGCCUUUCGAAAGGGAGAUUAAUACCGCAUAAGACAGUAGCUGGGCAUCCAGCAGCUGUUAAAGAUUUAUCGAUGUAAGCUGGGCAUGCGUCCAAUUAGCUAGUUGGUGAGGUAACGGCUCACCAAGGCAAUGAUUGGUAGGGGAACUGAGAGGUCAAUCCCCCACACUGACACGGGGAUACGGGCCAGACUCCUACGGGAGGCAGCAGUAGGGAAUAUUGGGCAAUGGACGCAAGUCUGACCCAGCCAUGCCGCGUGCAGGAUGAAGGCGUUAUGCGUUGUAAACUGCUUUUAUACAGGAAGAAACGACCCUUGCGAGAGGCAUUGACGGUACUGUAUGAAUAAGCACCGGCUAACUCCGUGCCAGCCGCCGCCGUAACAC